rnacentral:rRNA from 1 species
AAGCAUGAGCUGUGAUGGGGAAGGAAAUUAAGUACGGAAGUUCCUGAUUUCACGCUGUCAAGAAAAGCCUCUAGGAAGAGUAGUACUGCCCGUACCGCAAACCGACACAGGUAGAUGAGGAGAGAAUCCUAAGGUGAGCGAGAGAACUCUCGUUAAGGAACUCGGCAAAAUGACCCCGUAACUUCGGGAGAAGGGGUGCUCUAUUAGGGUGCAAGCCCGAGAGAGCCGCAGUGAAUAGGCCCAGGCGACUGUUUAGCAAAAACACAGGUCUCUGCAAAACCGUAAGGUGACGUAUAGGGGCUGACGCCUGCCCGGUGCUGGAAGGUUAAGAGGAGUGCUUAGCUUCGGCGAAGGUACGAAUUGAAGCCCCAGUAAACGGCGGCCGUAACUAUAACGGUCCUAAGGUAGCGAAAUUCCUUGUCGGGUAAGUUCCGACCCGCACGAAAGGCGCAACGAUCUGGGCACUGUCUCAACGAGAGACUCGGUGAAAUUAUAGUACCUGUGAAGAUGCAGGUUACCCGCGACAGGACGGAAAGACCCCGUGGAGCUUUACUGCAACCUGAUAUGGAAUGUUUGUACCGCUUGUACAGGAUAGGUAGGAGCCGAAGAGACGUGUGCGCUAGCAUACGAGGAGGCAAUGGUGGGAUACUACCCUGGCUGUAUGACCAUUCUAACCCGCCACGCUUAGCGCGUGGGGAGACAGUGUCAGGUGGGCAGUUUGACUGGGGCGGUCGCCUCCUAAAGAGUAACGGAGGCGCCCAAAGGUUCCCUCAGAAUGGAUGGAAAUCAUUCGCAGAGUGUAAAGGCACAAGGGAGCUUGACUGCGA